ACGAGCGUUGAAAAGCUCGGGGAUGACUUGUGGGUAGCGGUGAAAUUCCAAUCGAGCCCGGAGAUAGCUGGUUCUCCCCGAAAUAGCUUUAGGGCUAGCCCCAAGGUGAGAGAUACGGAGGUAGAGCACUGAAUGUCCUAGGGAGUAUUGCACCUACCGAAGACUAUCAAACUCCGAAUGCCGUCAUCUUAUACUUGGGCGUCAGACUGUGGGUGAUAAGAUUCAUAG
rnacentral:rRNA from 1 species